ACCACCUGACAUUCAGUUUCUUUCCAGUUACUGUAUAUUUUAAGUAAUAUGUGCACUGAUGGGGAAAACUAUGUAUCUGCGUUCGCGUCACAGCAAUCGAACAACAUGUGGCCAACUUUCUGCCAUGGUGGUAUAUACCUGUAAUUCCAGGACUCAGGAUUCAAGAUGUCCGGACAAAAUCGGAGAUGAAAGCAUCACAGUCCAGGAACUCGGGGCUGAGACCCACUCAGGAUGGAAGACUUGUUUUUCAGUUGUGAUUGUGUGGGGAGCUCGCGCAUAUUAAUGAAGAUGCUGGAGGAGGCCAGAAGAGGGUGGAUCCCUGGAGCUGCUGUGAGCCACUCAACAUGAAGCAGGAGUCCUCUGCAAGAGCAGUGUGUGCUCUAAACUUGAGCCCUUUCUUCAGCCCCUUGACCCCAUUUUAAAAUAUGACAAUAUACUAGAUUUU